UGAAGUACAACUCCUAGAAAGCACUGCAAGCCUCAAAGAAACAACUAACAGCUGGCUCCUUUUAACCUGAGCAUAUUGUGGAGGGUGGAGGCAUUGAAAUCUCUGGCUGCUCUCUUGCAUAAAUUUCCCAUCUCCUGCCUUGGGUAGUGGCUGCUUUUUCUUCUGUGGGAAUUUGCUGAUCUUGGAACUCCAAGUAACCUGUACAGGCUUCUUGAAGCAUCUCGGCAAAUAUGAGGCUCAGAGUCAUUUGGAAGAACCUCAGUACACCAAUCUGGACUGCUCUCAUUUAUUCUCGGGCUGCCUAUUGUCUGUAGCUAUGCUGGUGACAUUAACAUGGAGGACCAAAUAUCAACAGGCCCCCCAAUAGCCCAACGAUCUAAGAAAGGAAGGCUUGUGAGGUACCUUACUAGACAGCAAACACUUCACAGAGAACAUAUCACAUAUCAAUGCUCAGUCUGUAGCAAAACCUUCAGGAGGAAUUCACAACUCACUAAACAUCAAACAACUCACACAGAAGAGAAACUAUAUAUGUGUUCCAUGUGUGGAAAGACCUUCAGGCGAUGCCAAAACCUUACUCAACAUGAAAGAACCCACAAAGGAGAGAAACCAUAUACAUGCUUGCAGUGUGGGAAGAGUUUUUCUUCUAUCAAAAACGUUACUGCCCAUUCAAGAAUCCACACAGGGGAAAAGCCAUACACCUGUCUGCAGUGUGGGAAAACCUUUAGUCAGAAACAGCAUCUUACUGGACAUCAAAGAACCCACACAGGGUAGAAACCAUAUUCAUGCUCGCAGUGUGGGAAAAGCUUCACUCAGAAAAUUAAUUUUAAUACACAUGAAAGAACCCACACAGGGGAGAAACCAUAUUCAUGCUUGCAGUGUGGGAAAAGCUUCACUCAGAAAAUUAAUUUUACUACACAUGAAAGAACCCACACAGGGGUGAAACCAUAUUCAUGCUUGCAGUGUGGAAAAAGCUUUGUUCACAAAACUUAUCUUUCUAAACACAAAAGAACCCACACAGGGGAGAAACCAUAUUUAUGCUCAAACUGUGGUAAAAGCUUUGCUCAGAAAUCUGAUCUUACUAGACAUGAAAGAACCCACACAAUGGAGAAGUCAUUGUCCUGCCCACUGUGCGGAAAAAGCUUCACUCGGAAACCGCAGUUUACUAGACAUCAAAGAACUCAUGAAGUGAAGACACCAUAGACAUGCUUGGAGGGUGGAGAGACUUUCUAUCAUUAAUCAACCCUUCAUGCACAUGAAAGAAGUCACAGAAGGGAGACAUUGUAAAAUGCCGGCUGCAUUCUGAGCUUUGAUGAUGAAUGAGGACUAAGUGAACAUGAGAAAAUACACAAAGAAGAGCAAACCUGACUACUUGGAGUUUGGAAAGAGCUUCUGUCACAACACAUGCUACUUUUUGCUUCAAGCAGUCAACACAGGCAAAAUUUCAGUCUUUUUGUCACCAUGUAAUUAUGACCUUGAGUGUUCUACACUUCUGAGCUGUGGGAGCUUCAUCGUCUCGAGCACAUUUAAGGGGCUGCUCAAUGAGGAACUCCAUGGUGGUUUUUAUUGUGGUUUUUUAAAAAUUGUAUAUUGAACUGGGUUCAAUGUUUUUAAAUGCUUUGAUUAAAAAAGGAGGAGAAAUGUGAUCAGAAGCUUUUUACAUUGAUGGCAUUGCAAGCUGGCAUUGCAGCUAUCAUCUUUUGAGGCAUCCGAGCAUUCAGCAGCAGUGGAAUAGAAACGUUUGCUGCUUUUUAGCUGUUUUUUAAUCUCAGUAUUGGAAUGUUUUAACUGUGCUUACUAAUAAAGUCACAUUAUUUUACCCAAA